GAGAAUGAGGCUCUGUGGCGGGAGGUGGCCAGCCUUCGGCAGAAGCAUGCCCAGCAACAGAAAGUCGUCAACAAGGUGGGGGCAGGGCCAGAGGGCCGGCGGGGGCCCCACAAGGGCCAGGGUGACUGUGUCCUUUCUCCCCACAGCUCAUUCAGUUCCUGAUCUCACUGGUGCAGUCAAACCGGAUCCUGGGGGUGAAGAGAAAGAUCCCCCUGAUGCUGAACGACAGUAGCUCAGCACAUUCCAUGCCCAAGUACGGCCGGCAGUUCUCCCUGGAGCACGUCCAUGGCUCGGGCCCCUACUCGGCCCCCUCCCCGGCCUACAGCAGCUCCAGCCUCUACGCCCCCGAUGCUGUGGCCAGCUCUGGACCCAUCAUCUCCGACAUCACCGAGCUGGCUCCUGCCAGCCCCGUGGCCUCCCCUGGCGGGAGCAUAGACGAGAGGUGGGGGCCGCAUCACCCCAGCCAUCCUGUCCCCCAACGAGGCGAGCCCCU
rnacentral:sRNA from 1 species